rnacentral:rRNA from 1 species
GAUGAACGCUAGCGGGAGGCCUAACACAUGCAAGCCGAGCGGUAUUUGUCUUUCGGGACAGAGAGAGCGGCGUACGGGUGCGGAACACGUGUGCAACCUGCCUUUAUCAGGGGGAUAGCCUUUCGAAAGGAAGAUUAAUACCCCAUAAUAUAUCUGAUGGCAUCAUUAGAUAUUGAAAACUCCGGUGGAUAGAGAUGGGCACGCGCAAGAUUAGAUAGUUGGUGAGGUAACGGCUCACCAAGUCAGUGAUCUUUAGGGGGCCUGAGAGGGUGUACCCCCACAAUGGGACUGAGACACGGACCAGACUCCUACGGGAGGCAGCAGUGAGAAAGAUUGGACAAUGGGUGCGAGCCUGAUCCAGCCAUCCCGCGUGCAGGACGACGGUUCUAUGGAUUGUAAACUUCGUUUAUACUGGGAUAAACCUACUCUCGUGAGGGUAGCUGAAGGUACAGUAUGAAUAAGCACCGGCUAACUCCGUGCCAGCAGCCGCGGUAA